CAGCUUGGAUUCUCCAAACUCCUCAUCGAUUCUUUAAGCCACCUUAAAUCCUUCAAUUAAUAUUGAUUCUGCUUAAUCAGUCAUGGCAGCCAAGAAGGAAUCCAAGUCAAUCCAGUGGCCAAGAUGGAGAACAUUACCACAUUCUGUCAUAAACACAUGUGUUAAAACUCCUCUCUUGAAAGUUAGAAUUGAUAUAACACAGAAUGCUCUGCUCUCCACAUCAGCCACAAGGACAGAUCCUGACUUCAAAAGGAAGCAGCAAAAGGAGGUAUAACCUCAACAGUGACCGUCUUGCCAAAUCUAGUCAACAAAACUAAAAUCACUUGAAGUUCAGUUCAAAAUAAAUAUGUUUUCAAUCAAA